rnacentral:misc_RNA from 1 species
GAAUUAUGGACAUGAUCUGCAUUGAUAUGAAGUUAGAAGACUGUUCAUAAAAUUUUAUCAGUUUUCUUUGCUUUUCCUUUCUUCUCUAUCUAUUUUCUUGUUUUCCCCUGGCUUUUGACGUUUGCAGCUACUUCAACCUUUUGUCUUGUAAUUUUUCUUUCAAAAUUUUUGUACAAGCAAAAUAAUAAUAAUAAUAAGGUGUUCAAAUUCUAUAUUGGGGUGAUAUUAAUUCAUUGAAGUUGUACUGCAUCUUUUUUUUAAAUCAGAAAGGGCAGUUGCUUCCUUUUCAUCCAGUGUAGCCUUGUCCCUGCAAACAACUUGCCUAAUUUAUUUUACUUGUGGAUAUAGCAUUUCGUUUAUAAUGUGCUUUUGUUAAUGUGCUUUUUUUUGGCUUAGUAAUAAAUAACAUUAGUGCUAUUAUCGUAGAGAAGAUGGCUUCACAUUAAAUUUUAGCCAAAAAUAGAAAGAAAAAUUAGAUCUUAAUGCACUGCAGAUGUAUAUUUAUAAGUCUCUUGCUGGCAUAUUUGGGGACGUUAAAUCCUUCCCAAGAUUGUUUGUUAUGUAUUCUAUUUUUGGAUAGUUUUUUCCAUCUGCAGAAAUAGUCUCAAAUUUGGAACAUUUCUUGAAGUUUCUCAAUGUUCUUGAAAUCUAAAAAAAUUACGUACCUAAGACUUGAUAGUCUUCCUGUCAUGGUACCCACAGGGCAAUUAUGCAUCUGAAAAUAU